rnacentral:rRNA from 1 species
GACGAACGCUGGCGGCGUGCUUAACACAUGCAAGUCGAACGGAAAGGCCCUGCUCUUGUGGGGUGCUCGAGUGGCGAACGGGUGAGUAACACGUGAGUAACCUGCCCUUGACUUUGGGAUAACUUCAGGAAACUGGGGCUCAUACAGGAUAGGAGCUCCUGCUGCAUGGUGGGGGUUGGAAAGUUUCGGCGGUUGGGGAUGGACUCGCGGCUUAUCCGCUUGUUGGUGGGGUAGUGGCUUACCAAGGCUUUGACGGGUAGCCUGCCUGAGAGGGUGACCGGCCACAUUGGGACUGAGAUACGGCCCAGACUCCUACGGGAGGCAGCAGUGGAGAAUAUUGCACAAUGGGCGGAAGCCUGAUGCAGCGACGCCGCGUGCGGGAUGACGGCCUUCGGGUUGUAAACCGCUUUCGCCUGUGACGAAGCGUGAGUGACGGUAAUUAGUAAAGAAGCACCGGCUAACUACGUG